rnacentral:rRNA from 1 species
UACGAAGGGGGCUAGCGUUGCUCGGAAUCACUGGGCGUAAAGGGUGCGUAGGCGGGUCUUUAAGUCAGGGGGGAAAUCCUGGAGCUCAACUCCAGAACUGCCUUUGAUACUGAAGAUCUUGAGUUCGGGAGAGGUGAGUGGAACUGCGAGUGUAGAGGUGAAAUUCGUAGAUAUUCGCAAGAACACCAGUGGCGAAGGCGGCUCACUGGACCGGUAUUGACGCUGAGGCGCGAAAGCUAGGGUAGCAAACGGG